rnacentral:lncRNA from 1 species
ACGAAGACUUCAAGGGAUCAGAAGGUGCACUGAAUCCUGAUGAUGGUCUUGGGGAACAACAAAAUCAGAAGCCAAACCAUGAGCUCAAGGUUUCAUAUUCUUCACAGAAAGGGAAGGAAACUCCUGCAGAAGUCAGUUGGUUAGCAGAUUUCAAGGAACAAGAAGAAAAAAUGAAUGAUGCUGAUGGUUCUAUGAACUUCACAGAGAAUCAAGGAGAAAAGGAAGAGAUAAAAGAACAUGGGCAAAAUUCAAGUCAACCCCAGAAAACUACAGACCUCAACAAUUCCAUGGAGGAACUUCCUGGCCUGGAAAUUGAAGAAAAAGUUUUUAAGAAAGAUUCACCUUCUUUGAUGGAUGAUCUCAAUGUUGAAAUACAGGAACAGGAAACAACGCUAGUUGACGAGCCGGACUGGAAGCAGUUGUUCAUGAAUGGUAUGGAGAAUAGAGAAAGAGCUCUACUUACAGAGUAUACUUCAAUCCUUCGGAAUUUUAAGGAAGUAAAGAAGAAGCUUAGUGAAGCAGAAAAAAAGAAUGGGGAUAGCCUCUUUGAUGCAACGGUGCAGGUAAGAG